UACGUAGGGGGCAAGCGUUGUCCGGAAUCAUUGGGCGUAAAGCGCGUGUAGGCGGUCCGGUAAGUCCGCUGUGAAAGUCGGGGGCUCAACCCUCGAAUGCCGGUGGAUACUGUCGGGCUAGAGUACGGAAGAGGCGAGUGGAAUUCCUGGUGUAGCGGUGAAAUGCGCAGAUAUCGUGAGGAACACCAGAGGCGAAGGCGGUUACCUGGACAGUUACUGACGCUCAGGCACGAAAGCAUGGGGAGCAAAAGGG
rnacentral:rRNA from 1 species